UGUUCGGAAAAUCGAGAACUUCUGUCAAGCCAAACUAAGCAUCCGUGUCCAGCUGGCGGGUAACAUGAUGUUGACUGCAGCCGGCUAUUUCUUUGCACGCGUCUAUUUUCAAUGCGUUCAGAUCAUGUUCUCUUCCAUGGACAACUGAAGUAUCUUCAUCAGAGCUUGGCAGAAUGAAGAUGGGCGUGGUUAUGCUGCAGAACAUCAGUGGAAAAUGAAACUCUUCAUGUGGCACAGCUUUAGCUCUUGCUAAUUUUGUUUGAAAAUGUUCUCUUUGCGUUGUCAGUUCUGGAUGUUUCGUCAUAUUAUGUCUUGCUCCCAUUUGUUUCCCGCAAGCAACCUUUCCUACAUCCCCAUUGUUUUUGUAACUAAUAAUCCAAAUGUUCAAAGAGAGUUAACAGAAGCGAGACAUUUAUUCUUUAAUACGCCUAUAUUUUGCUCCAGGAUUGCUUGCAGCAGAGCACAGGAGGUGAAUUUAAAUUUCGAGCCAAGGACAAUCGUGGAGAGUUAGCAAUCCAUUCUCUCACUCUGAAGGUGGAAUUUUUUGGUAUUAACAUUGCCAGAGGAUAUUUUGACAUUCCUGUGUAUUUUGAUCCAAUUGUUUCUGCACCCUACAUAAAACAUGCUUAGGAAAAAUUGAACUUGUGGCUGAGAGUUGUUUCUUAUGGGACUCUUGACA